rnacentral:rRNA from 1 species
GAUGAACGCUGGCGGCGUGCCUAAUACAUGCCAGUCGAGCGAACAGAUGAGGAGCUUGCUCCUCUGACGUUAGCGGCGGACGGGUGAGUAACACGUGGAUAACCUACCUAUAAGACUGGGAUAACUUCGGGAAACCGGAGCUAAUACCGGAUAAUAUAUUGAACCGCAUGGUUCAAUAGUGAAAGACGGCUUUGCUGUCACUUAUAGAUGGAUCCGCGCCGCAUUAGCUAGUUGUUAAGGUAACGGCGUACCAAGGCAACGAUGCGUAGCCGACCUGAGAGGGUGAUCGGCCACACUGGAACUGAGACACGGUCCAGACUCCUACGGGAGGCAGCAGUAGGGAAUCUUCCGCAAUGGGCGAAAGCCUGACGGAGCAACGCCGCGUGAGUGAUGAAGGUCUUCGGAUCGUAAAACUCUGUUAUUAGGGAAGAACAAAUGUGUAAGUAACUAUGCACGUCUUGACGGUACCUAAUCAGAAAGCCACGGCUAACUACGUG